rnacentral:tRNA from 1 species
GGUAGUAGAGUGCAGUGGUUAAGCAUAUGGCUCUGAGGCAAAAUGGCCUGGGUUCAAAUCCUAGUUCUACCG